UGGGGAAUAUUGGACAAUGGGGGCAACCCUGAUCCAGCCAUGCCGCGUGAGUGAUGAAGGCCUUAGGGUUGUAAAGCUCUUUUACCUGGGAAGAUAAUGACUGUACCAGGAGAAUAAGCCCCGGCUAACUUCGUGCCAGCAGCCGCGGUAAUACGAAGGGGGCUAGCGUUGUUCGGAAUCACUGGGCGUAAAGCGCUUGUAGGCGGAUUUUUAAGUCAGGGGUGAAAUCCCGAGGCUCAACCUCGGAACUGCCUUUGAUACUGGAAAUCUUGAGUAUGGAAGAGGUUGGUAGAACUGCUAGUGUAGAGGUGAAAUUCGUAGAUAUUAGCAAGAAUACCAGUGGCGAAGGCGGCCAACUGGUCCAUUACUGACGCUGAGAAGCGAAAGCGUGGGUAGCAAA
rnacentral:rRNA from 1 species